rnacentral:SRP_RNA from 14 species
GUGCCCAGGACAGCGCGAGGCUGGCUUUGCCGAGCAGCGAUG